CAAUCGAGAUAACAGCAAUGACUGUGACAGAGAAACGCCUGAUCAAAGAAUCAAAAACAUAAACAGCGUAAAAUGUUUACCCAGUGAUGUUAUAAACGGGAUUGCCAAGAGUGCCUCUAAUGAAGCCAGGUUAACUUGCAGACAAAAUUAAAACCCAGCUCCCUCCCAACACGGUCCGUUACUGGGCCCAGACCGCAGCAACCGCAACGCCCACUGCCACUUCUCCAACUGCGCAGCCGCACACUCUCCACGGCUCUCCGGCCCCCUCCCAUCUGCCGCAGUUAGGAAAGGCCGAGAAGUGCGGGCGGAGCCGCCCCCGCCCUCCGCAAAGCCAGCCCAAUGGCGGCCUCGCGGGCGCGUCACAGCGGGUGGAAGCCGGAUUCUCGCGACGCCACGACCGCGCCUGCGCCAACGGGGCGGGCGCUCUGCGGCCACAAAAUGGCGGCGGUGGAAUCAACAGCAGCAGAGCCGCGCGUGCCAAAUUCUCUUUUCCCUCCUCCUCCCAACUCCACCGUUCUUGGGGUCACUGCGGCCGCCCUCCAAAAGGCCCAGCCGCAUCGCCAGCAAAGUCAGGGAGAUCCCGGCCCACUACUCUACGUGUCCGGGAGAUGAAGACGUUAAGACCGGCAGGGAGGGGCGCACAACCGCUGUGUAAAAACGACCCUAACAGUGACCGCCCUUCCACCUCAGUCCCCCUCAAACAGUAUGCCAAAAGGGAGACGUGCCCCAGCGCCCACCUCGAAUCAACUGCGCUCAUUAGACGCCGUCCUCCGCAAAGAGAGCAGCCCCAGCCGCUCACGAAUUGAGCGGCCAUGAAGAAGCCUCGAUCCGAGAAGGCUUGCCCUCAAAGUGAGCCACUCACCUACCGGACGGGGUCUUUAGCGGCUGAGACCCAGACAGGUCCGUAGUCUGCGACGGAGUCGUCGGCCUCCACGCAGACCAGGACUUAACUCGUCUACGCCUCUCCACAACUGACGCACUUAGCAGCUCUGGCACUCCACAAAAUGGAGGCCGCAUCUCUGCGUCACUUCCGGGGACGCCCCUGGGCCUUGGGUCCACCCUGUUGGACCCAGGGAAGACGGAAGUUUUGGGAGGGCCGGAAAUUUCGGGGAACGUGCGUCUCCUUUGACACUGUGAGUGACCGACCCUCCGCCCGCGGUGGGUGGGGCCGGAGGCGGGAACUCGCUUGGGCAUUGCCGGCAGGUGCCGGAGUCUGGAGGGACAUCGGUUGAAGUUGUUCGCCCCUUCUAAGUCCUUGGCGUUCGGUUCAUCAUCAUCUCUCCCAGAAGAGUCUCCUGAGACAAGUAUCAACCCUUCUUGUAUCUAAAGUUUUUCUUAGACACACACAAGAUUACUAAUUAGAAGAAACUUAGCUUUGCAGAAAUACCUGGCCUUUGCUUAUCUCUCGCCCUCAAAGCAGAGAGCUCCUAGAUGUUCGAGUUCUUUUUUCAGCCAUGCCACAGCUGUAUGGUUUUGUUGUAGUGAGAAGACUAAGGAACUGAAGUAUUUUUUUAAAUGAAGGGGUUUUGACUGAUGAAAUGUUGAAAAUGGUACUGCAACUAGAAGGCUGUCUUGAAUUGAGGCUGGAAUACAGAUUUCUGCAUUUCCAUCACUCUGGGAGAGUGGUUGGAAAAGGUUUCAAGCUGCUUUUUUUUUUUUUUUGAGACGGAGUCUCGCUCAGUCGCCCAGGCUGGAGUGCAGUGGCGCCAUCUCGGCUCACUGCAAGCUCCGACUCCGGGUUCACACCAUUCUCCUACCUCAGCCUCCCGAGUAGCUGGGACCACGCCGGCUAAUUUUUUUUGUAUU